AAUGGGUCAGCGACUUAUAUUCUGUAGCAAGGUUAACCGUAUAGGGGAGCCGAAGGGAAACCGAGUCUUAACUGGGCGUUAAGUUGCAGGGUAUAGACCCGAAACCCGGUGAUCUAGCCAUGGGCAGGUUGAAGGUUGGGUAACACUAACUGGAGGACCGAACCGACUAAUGUUGAAAAAUUAGCGGAUGACUUGUGGCUGGGGGUGAAAGGCCAAUCAAACCGGGAGAUAGCUGGUUCUCCCCGAAAGCU
rnacentral:rRNA from 1 species